AUGGCGAAGCGCCUCGCCGUCGCGCUCCUGCUGGUGCUCCUGCUCGCGUCCAGCGACGCGGGAGAGCUGAAUGGGAAGCACGGUGCUGGUAGUGCCGUCGGCGAGAUGAAGGCUCCGUCGCUCCUAGCCGGCGGGUCACCGGCUCUCGACGGCGGCCUCCCGGGGGCAGUGGACGGCCUCGCGGGGGGCCUCGGGUUGCCAGGGGCACCACCGAUUGUCGGGGUACUGAUUCCUGGGUCCCUCCCGUUCGAAAAUCCAGCACCAACAAGUCUCCAUGAUCAUCUAUGGUUCAUGUGCUAG
rnacentral:rRNA from 1 species